rnacentral:rRNA from 1 species
GGAGUCUGGUCCGUGUCUCAGUACCAGUGUGGGGGACCUUCCUCUCAGAACCCCUACUGAUCGUCGGCCAGGUGGGCCGUUACCCCGCCUGCAACCUAAUCAGACGCAUCCCCAUCCCUUAGCGGUAAACCUUUGGUAUUCGUCAGAUGUCCUCAAAAUACAACAUAGGGUAUUAAUCCGAUUUUCACCGGGCUAUGCCCUACUAAGGGGAAGGUUGGAUACGCGUUACUCACCCGUGCGCCGGUCGCCAUCAGAGUUUGCAAGCAAACCCCAUGCUGCCCCUCGACUUGCAUGUGUUAAGCCUGUAGCUAGCGUUCAUC